ensembl:lncRNA
AACAGCUCGGCUGCUCCCCCACGCUUCAGCAGGUUCUAGACUGGAUUCCAACACAGCUGUGACCUGUGCAGCUCCAUAGGCCCCACAGGCGGCCCCUGUCCGGGGCACUGACAGGGCUCAUGCCCUGUCGGAAAGCAGCCAGCACACUGCCCCCUCCCUGAUCCCUGCACAGCAGGCAGCCACGUUGGACUGCAGGGGACCCAGCAGCUGCCCAGGCCCCUUCCCCAUGGACACUUGAUCUUAUCCUGUCACCCAGAGAGCCUCAGGCUGGAGGGGGCUCUGGCGGCAAGGAAUCCUGAGGAGCUGUUCCUGGGCGGGAGCCCCUCCCCUUGAGACAGUCCUGUGGUCAGAGGGAUCUGAUGCCCUGGCCGUGAGUCCUCAGUGGCCUCAGCAGGAGGAGGAGCUGCAUGUGCUCAUCCUCCAGGGUGCCCCACUGUCCAGGAGGCCCAGCCUGAGACUGCCAAGGGCUAUGAGACAUUGACGCUGGUGCCCAGUGUGCGGGAUGAGCCCACCCUCCCUCGACAGUGAGAUCCAGCAGUGAGUUCAAGCUGUGAUCUGUCUCUGGCUGCCAUGCUGGGUGAGGGUGCAGCCCCAUGCCAGCUGCCCUGCACCGGGACAGGCACGGCCCACACGCCCUGAGUCUUCCCCUCCGGGCAUCACCACAUGCCCAGGAAACCGAGGCCCAGGGCAGUGGGCACAGCCUGGCUCCCCGUGGGCCUGGUCUGUGGCAUGCUUGGCUCCACGUCAGGCCGGCUCCAGAGCCUGCCAUGCCCGCAUCCCCCGGCUCUCUUCAUGCAAACAGUUCUCAUGUGAAGAAGGAAUAGACAAGAGUGUGCUUGCUGUCUCGAGGCCAUGAGAAGCUAAGAAUGUGGUGGAGGGGGUCCCUGGAGGGCUGUAUCUAGUGUGUGGGUGUACACACACACACACACACAUCUGUCUCUGAGGCAACUUGUGUUGGCUGAAGGCUACUCUGGAAAACGAGGUAUGAAUUCAGAGUGAAACAAGCGCUCCCAUUUCCUGAGCUGCACCCUUUACCAGCCAUCUGUUGCAACAGAGGCUGGGCUCCCUCUCGGGGCUGCCCCUCCCUCACUUCCUGCUCUGGACUUCAGCAAGGCCCAGUCCCCCUCUGCUCUCCACCCGGGCCUCCAAGGAGCGUCCCCGGCUGCAGGCCAGUGCAUCCUGCUCCCCCGGCUCAGAGACCUUCUCUCGGAAGCCUCGAAGAAACCAGCGGUGUCCAAGGAGCUGCUAUGGCCUUGUCCCCCACCAGGGCAUGUGUCAUCACCACCUGCAUCCUCACCACCUUCCUUUUCAGCACCGGGGUAAGGAGUGCAUCGAGGGCCCCUUUCUCCUGGAGCAAAGGGUGGGGUGGGAAACAGGUUCCUUGGGGGUGCCUUGGCCCGGCUUGGGACUUCAGGACCCCAGGCCCAUUGUCAGAAGGCACAGCUGCUAGAAGUGUUACCUGAUUGGGGGUGGCUUCCGCCGCUGAGUGACUGUUUGGCCAUUGUCUCCUUGGGUAGAGAGUUACAAGUGCACAGAAUGCUCUCCACUGCAGUGCACUUCCGGCUUGCAGGCAACAUGUGAAGCCACUCAAGGCUGCUUCCACUACAAGCAAGAAUUUAAUGAAUCAGGUAGGUCCUAGCCCUGCCCACGUCGGGACACGCUCAGAGCAGCCGGAGCGGGUGCUCAGAGGCAGGGGUGCCUUGCUCAGAAGCAGGAUGCAGGGGCUCUGCCCUUGACCUCGUCUGUG